UCAGUUUAUUUCGGGUAGCCCUAAUGCAAUAAAAACCGAGUGGGAGCACUGCGGAUGAAAAGCAGCAAAUUUCUUUAGCAGUCCCUGAAAUGAUUCCAAACACACUACGGAGUUCAUGUGCUAUUUUUUCUUGCCAUUUUUAUUUUAUGCCUUUUUAUGGUUCCACCUGAAAACUAUCGUCUAAUUAUCGCAUAGAAACGUGCGGAAGAGGAACGUCCCAGAUGAAUGAGAAACUGAGAAAUUUUCGGAACGGCAAAACAUUACGGACCAUCCCAGAAAUGGUUGGUCGCAUGAAUAGGCUACUCGAUUUAUUAGUGAGGGCGCGAAAGAAUAAUGUAUUAAGUUAAUGAAGAUAUAGUGUGUGAUGGCACGUGUAAAGUCUAACCACAACCGAGGAUCUGUGUCGUUAAGACCGAAAUUUGAUUACGAAAGCGAAAGUAUGUAUGUUGGUUGUCUGGCAAUCGGCGAAAGACUACCCAAUUACAAGCCCACCAAAUUGUCCGUGCCAUAAUAAAAGUUAGAGAACGAAAAAAAGGAUAGAAAGAGAGCGCUAGAGCAGCGGCUAAGCCGAGAACGAACGACAGGAACGAUGAAGCGGAUAGAGAGGCUAAAUUCUUUCCAGUAAACAAUGUUUACCUACAGUGGGCACGCAAAGAAACCUUUUCUACGCAAAGAAACAAUAAAGGAAUUAAAACACAAACUUUACCUCUCGAAAUAACAUUAAAAAAAUAAAAAAAUUUAAAUUCUUCAGACAAAAUCUGUCCAUGAAAAAUAAAUUAUAUCGAGCCCCAAAUAUAUCAGAAUAAUCGUUUUGAUAUUAGAAACAAGUUCAACAUUUUUUUUGACUAGUGCUGUCUAUGAAAAGAGAUGGGAAAUUUAUCAAAAAAUGAAGGUUUAAUUCUCAAUUUUAUGAUGGUACAUAGUGGAUUAGUGUUCUUCUUCAUAAUGUUCAUAAUGCUCUUCCUCAUAAAUUAACUCCUUCCAUUGUUCCACAGUAUGUUCUCUUUCAUCAACGCUAUGAUCGUACGGCUCUGGAGCAGGCUGUAAUGGAAAAAGAAACCAAAAAUAUUAACAUUUUUUUUGUUCCAAAAUAUUUUUUAGGAACAUUCCACGUGCUCAAACCUAUUGUAAGACUACGUAAAGUUACUUAGCUUAGAAAUGUACCACAACCCUGGUAUUGAACGGCAAAGCCAGGAUUAAGAACUAGAGAUAUGUGAUGAUCUGAAUAAAAUACGUCUCUUUCAGUAAUUCUUACUUAGCAAUGCCAAUGUCCCCCAAAGUCCUGAACGCCGCAGAUGCUGACAGCGGUUAUUUUUGCAUCAUCGACUCGAUGUAAAAAUACCCCCACAGACCAACGAGAUUUUUUUAAAUGUUCUUUAAAUAUUUCUUAAUCUAUGUAUAUAUGUAGGUCCUUAUCUGUGUAGCUUCGCAACUUCACCCAAAAAAACAGAUAAAACAGCGCUGCCGUAGAUAUAAGAUAAAUACAUAUAAUACAUACGAGGGAUCUUUUUAAUUAUUUCAAAAUCCAAUUAAUCCAAUUACAAAUUAAAUAUUUAAUGUUCUCGUGCAGACUAAAUUUAGAAGUUUCAGAAGUUUUGCGUUCAAAAGCUAUAAAUCUAGUACGCUGAAUUUGCCGAGGGGCCAACUGUUGAACGAACCUGAGCGCACGUUGUAUCGCCUUCUCGUUUCGUUGAAUAUAUAAAUUAAUUUAGAGCCACUCCAGUAUUGUUGAAAUUUGACCAUUGAACAUUCUUUAUCGAUCGAAAUGAAAACUUAGCAUUUUAAAUUGAGAAAUAUGCACCGGA
rnacentral:misc_RNA from 1 species